rnacentral:pre_miRNA from 1 species
AUGUCCCUCCCUCUAUGUAACCACAUUCCAAUGCUUAACUAGUCGAUGUGGGAUUGUUUUUCCCUCUCAAAACUAGCCUCUUAGGUAAGCGUGUGAACUGUCGAGAUCUGGAUGGAUCCAAGACACGUUACCACAGGUAGCGUCGUUUGUUUACACUUCUUCUGGUAGAGAGCUGAGCUGGAGGUCGAGUCUUUGGACAUGUAAGUUGAAAUGGAGCUGCUGAGCUUCCUACAAGAUGAAGGUGAGCUAAGGGGCGUAAUAGUUUGUCUAGGGGUCAGGUCUACUAAUAAGGAUUGGACUGUGGCUACAUAUAGCAAGGGUCAC